AACCCUAAUCAAUAGAUUAACGGCGUAAAACGUGUUUAAGAGCCCCAAAUAAUAAAGUUAAAUCCUAGCUACGCUGUAAAAAGCCCCAGCUACUGUAAACCCUCCCACGAAAGUGACUUUAAACUAUCUGAACACACGACAGCUGAGGCCCAAACUGGGAUUAGAUACCCCACUAUGCUCAGCCCUAAACUUAAAGAAUUACCCCAACAAAAUUCUUCGCCAGAGUACUACUAGCUAAAGCUUAAAACUCAAAGGACUUGGCGGUGCUUCAUAUCCUUCUAGAGGAGCCUGUUCUAUAAUCGAUAAACCCCGAUAAACCUCACCAACCCUUGCCAACU
rnacentral:rRNA from 1 species